GUGGGGAAUAUUGGACAAUGGGCGCAAGCCUGAUCCAGCCAUGCCGCGUGAGUGAUGAAGGCCCUAGGGUUGUAAAGCUCUUUCAGUGGGGACGAUAAUGACGGUACCCACAGAAGAAGCCCCGGCUAACUUCGUGCCAGCAGCCGCGGUAAUACGAAGGGGGCUAGCGUUGUUCGGAUUUACUGGGCGUAAAGCGCACGUAGGCGGAUCGUUAAGUCGAGGGUGAAAUCCUGGAGCUCAACUCCAGAACUGCCUUCGAUACUGGCGAUCUUGAAUCCGGAAGAGGUGAGUGGAACUCCUAGUGUAGAGGUGGAAUUCGUAGAUAUUAGGAAGAACACCAGUGGCGAAGGCGGCUCACUGGUCCGGUACUGACGCUGAGGUGCGAAAGCGUGGGGAGCAAACAGGAUUAGAAACCCCUGUAGUCC
rnacentral:rRNA from 1 species